rnacentral:rRNA from 1 species
UAACCUGCCCUUAACUCUGGGAUAAGCCUGGGAAACUGGGUCUAAUACCGGAUAUGACUCCUCAUCGCAUGGUGGGGGGUGGAAAGCUUUAUUGUGGUUUUGGAUGGACUCACGGCCUAUCAGCUUGUUGGUGAGGUAAUGGCUCACCAAGGCGACGACGGGUAGCCGGCCUGAGAGGGUGACCGGCCACACUGGGACUGAGACACGGCCCAGACUCCUACGGGAGGCAGCAGUGGGGAAUAUUGCACAAUGGGCGAAAGCCUGAUGCAGCGACGCCGCGUGAGGGAUGACGGCCUUCGGGUUGUAAACCUCUUUCAGUAGGGAAGAAGCGAAAGUGACGGUACCUGCAGAAGAAGCGCCGGCUAACUACGUGCCAGCAGCCGCGGUAAUACGUAGGGCGCAAGCGUUAUCCGGAAUUAUUGGGCGUAAAGAGCUCGUAGGCGGUUUGUCGCGUCUGCCGUGAAAGUCCGGGGCUCAACUCCGGAUCUGCGGUGGGUACGGGCAGACUAGAGUGAUG